GUUAGAACAGUAACAUUACGCCAUCUUCAAAAUAACAGUUGAACAGUGUCUCGUAGAUCAGUGUAGUGCAUGUCAUUUUUAAUAGUGAAAAAGUGUCCCAAAUCCGUUCACCCAAACCAAAUGAAUAGUAUUGUAAGUCUCAUCGUACAUGUCCCGAGUAAUCAAUGUUAACAUACGCAAUAUUUAUAGGAAUACAAGAAGCCCCCCUUAAACAUAACGGCAAUAAGCUUAAAAACGAAAAACGGUAGACAGUUUUACCCUUGAUAAAGGCCAAAUACAGAGUGCCGAAACGUUGGGCAAAACAAAACUUUCCGUUUUGAUUUCCCUAGACUGAGAAAGCCAUAAAAUCACAGUUAAAAUCCUUCCAGUCGAGUAUCCUAGAU